UAAGGCUGAGGCGUGAUGACGAGGCACUACGGUGCUGAAGCAACAAAUGCCCUGCUUCCAGGAAAAGCCUCUAAGCAUCAGGUAACAUCAAAUCGUACCCCAAACCGACACAGGUGGUCAGGUAGAGAAUACCAAGGCGCUUGAGAGAACUCGGGUGAAGGAACUAGGCAAAAUGGUGCCGUAACUUCGGGAGAAGGCACGCUGAUAUGUAGGUGAAGCGACUUGCUCGUGGAGCUGAAAUCAGUCGAAGAUACCAGCUGGCUGCAACUGUUUAUUAAAAACACAGCACUGUGCAAACACGAAAGUGGACGUAUACGGUGUGACGCCUGCCCGGUGCCGGAAGGUUAAUUGAUGGGGUCAGCGCAAGCGAAGCUCUUGAUCGAAGCCCCGGUAAACGGCGGCCGUAACUAUAACGGUCCUAAGGUAGCGAAAUUCCUUGUCGGGUAAGUUCCGACCUGCACGAAUGGCGUAAUGAUGGCCAGGCUGUCUCCACCCGAGACUCAGUGAAAUUGAACUCGCUGUGAAGAUGCAGUGUACCCGCGGCAAGACGGAAAGACCCCGUGAACCUUUACUAUAGCUUGACACUGAACAUUGAGCCUUGAUGUGUAGGAUAGGUGGGAGGCUUUGAAGUGUGGACGCCAGUCUGCAUGGAGCCGACCUUGAAAUACCACCCUUUAAUGUUUGAUGUUCUAACGUUGACCCGUAAUCCGGGUUGCGGACAGUGUCUGGUGGGUAGUUUGACUGGGGCGGUCUCCUCCUAAAGAGUAACGGAGGAGCACGAAGGUUGGCUAAUCCUGGUCGGACAUCAGGAGGUUAGUGCAAUGGCAUAAGCCAGCUUGACUGCGAGCGUGACGGCGCGAGCAGGUGCGAAAGCAGGUCAUAGUGAUCCGGUGGUUCUGAAUGGAAGGGCCAUCGCUCAACGGAUAAAAGGUACUCCGGGGAUAACAGGCUGAUACCGCCCAAGAGUUCAUAUCGACGGCGGUGUUUGGCACCUCGAUGUCGGCUCAUCACAUCCUGGGGCUGAAGUAGGUCCCAAGGGUAUGGCUGUUCGCCAUUUAAAGUGGUACGCGAGCUGGGUUUAGAACGUCGUGAGACAGUUCGGUCCCUAUCUGCCGUGGGCGCUGGAGAACUGAGGGGGGCUGCUCCUAGUACGAGAGGACCGGAGUGGACGCAUCACUGGUGUUCGGGUUGUCAUGCCAAUGGCACUGCCCGGUAGCUAAAUGCGGAAGAGAUAAGUGCUGAAAGCAUCUAAGCACGAAACUUGCCCCGAGAUGAGUUCUCCCUGACUCCUUGAGAGUCCUGAAGGAACGUUGAAG
rnacentral:rRNA from 1 species